CAAAUGCCCCACUGUGCGUCGUCUUUCAGGUCGUUGAAGCAAACUUCGAAAAGGGGUCGCGGUGCUUGAAAUACAAAACCGAUUUUGACGGGAAAUGGAAAAUCCUUGCUUUUCUUCAAAAACUAUGGAAGGAGAACGGAUCUUUCCCUGCAGAAAAGUAAAUCACGCAAAUGCUAUUCUUCAAAGCCUUGUUCCACAGCUGCUUCCAAACAGGAGGAUAUUUUGGGAAUCUCUGCCCUGUUCAGCUGCUUCACUUGAUUUAAAUACAAACAGAGAAGUUAUGUUUGGAAGUGAUGAGUUUCAAGUGUGAGGAUACGG
rnacentral:lncRNA from 1 species